rnacentral:rRNA from 1 species
GUCAUAUGCUUGUCUCAAAGAUUAAGCCAUGCAUGUCUCAGUACAAGCCAAAUUAAGGUGAAACCGCGAAAGGCUCAUUAAAUCAGUUAUGGUUCCUUAGAUCGUACCCACAAUUACUUGGAUAACUGUGGUAAUUCUAGAGCUAAUACAUGCAAACGGAGCUCCGACCGGAGACGGAAGGAGGGCUUUUAUUAGAUCAAAACCAAUCGGUGGCGGGUUCGCGCUCGUCAUCGUACAACUUGGUGACUCUGAAUAACUUUACGCUGAUCGCACGGUCAUCGCACCGGCGACGCAUCUUUCAAAUGUCUGCCUUAUCAACUGUCGAUGGUAGGUUCUGCGCCUACCAUGGUUGUAACGGGUAACGGGGAAUCAGGGUUCGAUUCCGGAGAGGGAGCCUGAGAAACGGCUACCACAUCCAAGGAAGGCAGCAGGCGCGCAAAUUACCCACUCCCGGCACGGGGAGGUAGUGACGAAAAAUAACGAUACGGGACUCAUCCGAGGCCCCGUAAUCGGAAUGAGUACACUCUAAACCCUUUAACGAGGAUCAAUUGGAGGGCAAGUCUGGUGCCAGCAGCCGCGG